AAAAAAAAGCUUUGUCAUAAAUAUUUCAAGUACUGGAUGAUUACCACAAUGACAACCAUUAUUAAUUUCGUUUCCUAAACAUUUUAGAAUAUUUUCUUGUUAGUGGAUUAAACUUUUAAGAAAAUCUUGAGAUAUUAACAAUUUUAAUCCCUAUAUUAUCAUCAAUUCAAUAUAAUCAUCAUCUGCAAAAACCAGUACAAAGAAAGCAAUUAGAAGAAACAAAGAAAGAAGAGCUUGCCUUACAGGAAUUUGGGAAAGAAAUCACAGAGGUACUGGCUUUGUCGCUUCCUUUAUCAUUUUCAAAUUUGUUCAUCAAAGUG
rnacentral:misc_RNA from 1 species